AAACUGCAAGUCGAGCGGAUUAUUCCUUCGGGGAUAGCUUAGCGGCGGACGGGUGAGUAACACGUAGGCAACCUGCCCACAAGACCGGGAUAACAUUCGGAAACGAAUGCUAAGACCGGAUACGCAAGCCUGGGGCAUCCCGGGCUUGGGAAACACGGCGCAAGCUGUGGCUUGUGGAUGGGCCUGCGGCGCAUUAGCUAGUUGGCGGGGUAACGGCCCACCAAGGCGACGAUGCGUAGCCGACCUGAGAGGGUGAACGGCCACACUGGGACUGAGACACGGCCCAGACUCCUACGGGAGGCAGCAGUAGGGAAUCUUCCACAAUGGGCGAAAGCCUGAUGGAGCAACGCCGCGUGAGUGAGGAAGGCUUUCGGGUCGUAAAGCUCUGUUGCCAGGGAAGAAUAAGGGCCAGUUAACUGCUGGUCCGAUGACGGUACCUGAGAAGAAAGCCCCGGCUAACUACGUGCCAGCAGCCGCGGUAAUACGUAGGGGGCAAGCGUUGUCCGGAAUUAUUGGGCGUAAAGCGCGCGCAGGCGGUUCUUUAAGUCUGGUGUAUAAGUGCGGGGCUCAACCCCGUGAGGCACUGGAAACUGGGGAACUUGAGUGCAGAAGAGGAGAGCGGAAUUCCACGUGUAGCGGUGAAAUGCGUAGAGAUGUGGAGGAACCCAGUGGCGAAGGCGGCUCUCUGGACUGUAACUGACGCUGAAGCGCGAAAGCGUGGGGAGCAAACAGGAUAAAAUACCCUGGUAAUCCACCCCGUAAACGAUGAUUGCUAAGGGGUGGGAGGGAUCGCCCCCUCGGUGGCCCAAGUAAAACAUUAAGCACUCCGCCCUNGGGAUUCCCUCCCAAGAAUGAAACCCAAAGGGAAUGACGGGGGACCCCCCCAACCCGUGGAAUAAGGGGGUUAAUUCGCAACCACCCGCAAAAACC
rnacentral:rRNA from 1 species